AGCGAACGCUGGCGGCAGGCUUAACACAUGCAAGUCGAACGGGCAUCUUCGGAUGUCAGUGACAGACGGGUGAGUAACACGUGGGAACGUACCCUUCGGUUCGGAAUAACUCAGGGAAACUUGAGCUAAUACCGGAUACGCCCUUUUGGGGAAAGGUUUACUGCCGAAGGAUCGGCCCGCGUCUGAUUAGCUUGUUGGUGGGGUAACGGCCUACCAAGGCGACGAUCAGUAGCUGGUCUGAGAGGAUGAUCAGCCACACUGGGACUGACACACGGCCCAGACUCCUACGGGAGGCAGCAGUGGGGAAUAUUGGACAAUGGGCGCAAGCCUGAUCCAGCCAUGCCGCGUGAGUGAUGAAGGCCUUAGGGUUGUAAAGCUCUUUUGUCCGGGACGAUAAUGACGGUACCGGAAGAAUAAGCCCCGGCUAACUUCGUG
rnacentral:rRNA from 1 species